rnacentral:rRNA from 1 species
UACGGGGGGGGCAAGCGUUGUUCGGAAUUACUGGGCGUAAAGGGCUCGUAGGCGGCCAGAUAAGUCCGCUGUGAAAUCUCGAGGCUCAACUUCGAGCUGUCGGUGGAAACUAUCUGGCUAGAGUCCGGAAGAGGAGAAUGGAAUUCCUGGUGUAGCGGUGAAAUGCGCAGAUAUCAGGAAGAACACCCGUGGCGAAGGCGGUUCUCUGGGACGGUACUGACGCUGAGACGCGAAAGCGUGGGGAGCGAACAGG